rnacentral:tRNA from 1 species
UUAAUUGAAGCCAAAAAGAGGCGUAUUACUGUUAAUAAUAUAAAUGAACUAAAGUUCCAAUUAAA